rnacentral:rRNA from 1 species
GACGAACGCUGGCGGCGUGCCUAAUACAUGCAAGUAGAACGCUGAAGAGAGGAGCUUGCUCUUCUUGGAUGAGUUGCGAACGGGUGAGUAACGCGUAGGUAACCUGCCUUGUAGCGGGGGAUAACUAUUGGAAACGAUAGCUAAUACCGCAUAACAAUGGAUGACACAUGUCAUUUAUUUGAAAGGGGCAAUUGCUCCACUACAAGAUGGACCUGCGUUGUAUUAGCUAGUAGGUGAGGUAAUGGCUCACCUAGGCGACGAUACAUAGCCGACCUGAGAGGGUGAUCGGCCACACUGGGACUGAGACACGGCCCAGACUCCUACGGGAGGCAGCAGUAGGGAAUCUUCGGCAAUGGGGGCAACCCUGACCGAGCAACGCCGCGUGAGUGAAGAAGGUUUUCGGAUCGUAAAGGUCUGUUGUAAGUCAAGAACGGGUGUGAGAGUGGAAAGUUCACACUGUGACGGUAGCUUACCAGAAAGGGACGGCUAACUACGUG